rnacentral:tRNA from 1 species
GGGGGUAGAGUUCAGUGGUAGAGCCCGUGCUUAGAAUGUACAAGGUCCUAGAUUCAAUCCCCAGUAUCUCCA